UGCAUGCUCCUUAGAUCCACCUGACGGGACCUAGUCCAUCAACUUUUUUGGUUGACCAUCGUUGGUGUAUGAGUCAUUGGCAUGCAAGACUACUGUACCUCCUCCUGCCAGCAAGCCUUACCAACCACUCCUGGCUAUCUUGUCCUGGCUAGGAGAGAAA